GCAAAGAGAGCUGAGAGGAGCAGAUUGAUACUCAGACGGAUUGACGAGACCCUGGAUGACUGGACAAGGAGAAGGGGGAGACACUGACAGUUACAGAUUCGGUAGAAGAGGAGAAAUCCGCAAAGGAGGAAGAGAUCCAACAGCCAGAGGAAGACCUGUUUCAAGAAUGGAGCAUCAGAGGCUGGUGAGAUGACUUGGAGGUUAUGUGUUUGGUGCAAAGGAGGAAGAGAUCCAACAGCCAGAGGAAGACCUGUUUCAAGAAUGGAGCAUCAGAGGCUGUAACCCAACUAUAGAAUUACACUAAAUACUGAAAAUAUCUGCUGUGAUCCUACUAGGAGAAGGGGAAAUGUAGUCACUGAGCAGCACACUGGCGUCUUCUCUGGAGCAGAGGCCCACACUCAGGAGAAAGAGCUGUGUUCAAGCAAGAACUGAAGCUUUAUGCCAGGUAUGGAAGAGAAACUUUCCUCAUAUCUCACCCUAGGUGGAAGAAGAGUCAACAGGAG
rnacentral:lncRNA from 1 species